CAAUAGCGUAUAUUAAAGUUGUUGCAGUUAAAAAGCUCGUAGUUGGAUUUCUGGUCGGAAGCUCCUGUCCUCUGAUGAGCGUACAAGUGCGUCCUACCAUCCUUCUGUUAACCUUUAAGGCUUUCGCGGCUUUCUAGGGGCUCAGAUAUUUUACCUUGAGAAAAUUAGAGUGUUUCAGGCAGGCUAGCGCCGGAAUACAUUAGCAUGGAAUAAUGGAAUAGGACUUUUGCCUCUUCUGUUGGUCAUGAGGCUCGAGUAAUGAUUAAUAGGGAUAGUUGGGAGCAUUAGUACUUAACUGUCAGAGGUGAAAUUCUCGGAUUUGUUAAAGACUAACUUAUGCGAAAGCAUUUGCCAAGGAUGUUUUCAUUA
rnacentral:rRNA from 1 species